UACGGAGGGUGCAAGCGUUGUCCGGAUUUAUUGGGUUUAAAGGGUGCGUAGGCGGCUUAGUAAGUCCGUGGUGAAAGCCAACAGCUCAACUGUUGAACUGCCAUGGAUACUGUUAGGCUUGAGUACAGACGAGGUAGGCGGAAUGGAUGCUGUAGCGGUGAAAUGCAUAGAUAGCAUCCAGAACUCCGAUUGCGAAGGCAGCUUACUAGGCUGUAACUGACGCUGAGGCACGAAAGCGUGGGGAGCAAACAGG
rnacentral:rRNA from 1 species